UCUUAUGUACAUCUCCGCAAUGUUAAUUCAUUGGAUAUCAUCAAAAAUCCGCAAUGAAGAUUGCGUGGGAUAGAGUGGUACUAGGAUGGGUGACCUUCUGAGAAGUCCUGGUGUUUUUCAUGC
rnacentral:rRNA from 1 species